GGCUGCGAGAAUCUGGGCCUCAAGACCGAUUCCGUUGCAAGGAACAGCUCGAAGAAUCACUAUUGCGGAAGCUGCGGCUACGGAUGUCGGAGCGGAGAAAAACGAGGCACUGACACCACCUGGCUCGUCGACGCCGUCCAGGACGGAGCUGUGAUAUUAACCGGAUUCAAAGCGGAGAGGUUUGUACUUAAAACAAAAAAUUCUACUACCAACGGGAAAAAGAAGAGAUGUACCGGUGUGAUGGCGGAGAGCGUCGUCGAAGGCGGUGGAGUGAUGAUGAAAAUCGAUAUCAGAGCUAAGGUGACCGUUUCAGCAUGUGGGUCAUUGCUAACUCCGCCUCUCCUCCUCGCCACUGGUCUGGAAAAUAAGCACAUAGGAAA
rnacentral:lncRNA from 1 species